ensembl:antisense Gm11770 predicted gene 11770
GGCUGCAUUCUGGCCUCUGUGUGAUCCUCAGGCAGUGAACUGAGCUGCAGGCUGGGCAGCUGAAGGCCUGACCAAGAUCAUGUUGCAGUUCCCAGGGGGUGGCUCUUCCACCUACCCUACCCAGGCAGGACCCCUAGCCCACCCUAUUCCAGAAAUGUCCCAAGCACAGCCUCUUGAGGUCUGUCCUGAGGAGGCAGCUGGAGGCAAAGGGCAUGCCUUCCUAUUCCGGCUGUGCAGCCAGCGAACUCUACGGUUCAGCCACAAUCAUUCAUCUAGGGCCUGUGGGUCUGACAUGUGGACAGGAAGAGAAAUCCCACACGGAGCCAGACUCUGGGGCUUAUGAGGAAGCAAGGGCCAGAUUAUGAACAAAGCACACACGUGGGGCUGCCAUUUUAAGUCGUGCUGACAUCUGAGGACAGCUGCAGGAGAUUCUUCCUGAAAAUUUAUGUUGCUGGAUGAGGAAACAAAGUCGAGUUAUGAAGUAACUUUCCUGGUGCAGAGGCCCACCCAGAUUGGAAUUCCAAUAAAUUUGACUUUAUCUAUAUAAA